AUUGAACGCUGGCGGCAUGCCUAACACAUGCCAGUCGAACGGUAACAGGUUAAGCUGACGCGUGUCGAGCGGGCGAGUAAUGUAUCGGAACGUGCUCAAUCGUGGUGUAUAAUUUCUCGAAAGAGCAGCUAAUACCGCAUACGACCUGAGGGCGAAAGCGGUGGAUCGCAAGACCUCGCGCGUUUGGAGCGGGCGAUAUCAGAUUAGGUAGUUGGUGAGGUAAAGGCUCACCAAGCCGACGAUCUGUAGCUGGUCUGAGAGGACGACCAGCCACACUGGGACUGAGACACGGCCCAGACUCCUACGGGUGGCAGCAGUGGGGAAUUUUGGACAAUGGGCGCAAGCCUGAUCCAGCCAUGCCGCGUGCGGGAAGAAGGCCUUCGGGUUGUAAACCGCUUUUGUCAGGGAAGAAAAGGUUCUGGCUAAUACCUGGGACUCAUGACGGUACCUGAAGAAUAAGCACCGGCUAACUACGUG
rnacentral:rRNA from 1 species